GGGGCCGACCUGGUUUCGACGUGGGUGCGGAUCCGGCGCAGGGCAUGCCGAGCACCAGUACGCUCGUAAAUCCACUGGAAGCAAGUAACUGCGAACGACGAACGUUUCGCUCUCGCCGCUUAAACACCGGUGAGCCUCUCAACGGUUGGCCGAUGGGCCGGGCGCGCAAGCGCUGAGAGGUCAUUCACAUCGGCUGGCUGUCGGCCGGGUCACUCGACCGGCAGCGAGACUCAGUGACUGGUGGCGUCCGCAGCGUGCUCCUGCGCGGCGGCGUCACGAGACCCAAAUCAGAGAGCUACGCAUGUAGAACUGUCCGGUGAUGGCUUGCGGACGGGGGUUCGAUUCCCCCCGGCUCCACCA
rnacentral:tmRNA from 1 species